rnacentral:snRNA from 1 species
AUUCUUGCGCUUGGGGCAAUGACGCGGCUAGUGAGGUACUAACCGAGGCGCGUCUAUUGCUGGUUGAAAACUAUUUCAAAACCCCCUCUUUGGCCUGGGCUCUGUCUAGGUCGUAGAGAAUUCCUGGAAGGGCUCCCUAAGGGGUAAAGCC